CAGCCGCCGCGGUAGUACGAAGGGUGCAAGCGUUAAUCGGAAUUACUGGGCGUAAAGCGUGCGUAGGCGGUUUGUUAAGUCUGCUGUGAAAUCCCCCGGCUCAACCGGGGAGGGUCAUUGGAAACUGGGAAACUUGAGUGCAGAAGAGGAGAGUGGAAUUCCACGUGUAGCGGUGAAAUGCGUAGAGAUGUGGAGGAACACCAGUGGCGAAGGCGACUCUCUGGUCUGUAACUGACGCUGAGGAGCGAAAGCGUGGGGAGCGAACAGGAUUAGAUACCCCGGUAGUCCCUGUCUCUUAUAC
rnacentral:rRNA from 1 species